UAUCAGCCUUGUUACAAGACUGUGCUAACAAGUUUGUUACAACCAUGAUAUAACAAGAAUGUUACAAGGUUGAUGAUACAAGGUUGUAACAAUACUGCUAUAUCAUGACUGUAUCGGACUUGUUGGAACAACCUUGUAACAAGUCUGAUA